UACAGAGGUCUCAAGCGUUGUUCGGAUUCAUUGGGCGUAAAGGGUGCGUAGGUGGCGCGUUAAGUCAGGUGUGAAAUUUCGGAGCUUAACUCCGAAACUGCAUUUGAUACUGGCGUGCUUGAGGACUGGAGAGGAGACUGGAAUUCAUGGUGUAGCAGUGAAAUGCGUAGAGAUCAUGAGGAAGACCAGUGGCGAAGGCGGGUCUCUGGACAGUUCCUGACACUGAGGCACGAAGCGUG
rnacentral:rRNA from 1 species